GCAGGGCUAAUUCACUUGUGAUGUUGCUAGAACUAUAUCUGAGUUGCCUAAUAUUGUCGCAGGGAUGACUCAUAUGGUAGAAAAUCCUUCUUGGAAUCAUUUGGAUUUUCUCUGGGCCAUAGAUGCAGACAAGGAAGUUUAUGCUGAUGUCCUGGCCAAUAUGAAAACUUGUUGGGAAACUGAUUGCAGACGACGAUAAAAUCAAAUGUAAAAACCAAAUUCUUAUAUUUGUUUAGAUUAAAAAAUGUUCAAAUAAAAAAGCAUGCCAAAAAAUUACUCCUUUUAAAG